CGUCAAAAUUCGUGCCGAAAUUGCGUGUUCUUCGCGGAACGCGUAUACUUCUGAUGUUGAUAUAACACAGUGUGCUUUGCGGCAACCAACCGCAUAACGCUGAUAAAAACCUCGCUCCGGCGGGGUUUUUU
rfam:Citrobacter koseri ATCC BAA-895, complete genome.